GAGUAACUAGAAUAAAUGGAUGAUUGGAUAUACUAUUUUUUUCUUUUCUUUCAGAUGUUUUAUCUGCAUUUUUGCAAACUGUACAUUUCCAAGUAAAAGAUGAGACUUCCACUUCUCCAGAAUAGACUUGCUUUGUCUUAAGUCUUUGUCCAGUCCCUGUCUUGGAGACUUCUUUAAAUGUAAGUUUUCAAAACUCUGAAAGAGGAAAGAAGCUGUUGAAAGAAUCAGAAUGGGAUCAGUUGAAGUUUUAGCAUUCUAUUUUUGUCUUCAGGGGUAUCAACAGCCCUGCUUUCCUCUCAUGGUGGUUUGAAAGGUUACUUUUUAAGCUAGUUGCAUGGCCAUGGAGUGUAAUAAAUGUUAGAAGCACUUUAUGACAGUAAAAUCUUUUCUGUUCCUUGUUGACAUUAGCAGCAGAGAUUGUUACCAAGAAGCAUUGAGAGGAAAUGGGAAAAUGAUAACAAUGAUAAACACUGUCUUGGGGGAUAGGGGAGCUACACAGUCAAUUUAAUUCAUUUUUACUGACUCAGGCAGGCCCCUCUGGCUAAAAUGGCUGGAAGACAAUAUGUUCUCUGGGAUGGAGCAGAGAUGGGGAGGAGGCAGGAGACUUUCUCCCAUCAUGAACACUUGCACAUGACCUCCAAGAAGAUUUCUUUCCAGCCUUCUGACAGCUGUUCUGAUAAUCCCCUGUACAAAUCAUUCAUACAUUUCAGAACUGAGAUUCUCAGCAUCAACCUCCCUGACAUUUUGGGCCAGAUAUUCGAAGUUGGGAUUUUCUCUGCUGCUGCUGCUGCUAAGUCGCUUCAGUCGUGUCCGACUCUGUGCGACCCCAUAGACCGCAGCCCACCAGGCUCCUCCCUCCCUGGGAUUCUCCAGGCAAGAACACUAGAGUGGGUUGCCAUUUCCUUCUCCAAUGCAUGAAAGUGAAAGAUGAAAGUGAAGUCGCUCAGUCGUGUCUGACUCUUAGCGACCCCAUGGACUGCAACCUACCAGGCUCCUCCGUCCAUAGGAUUUUCCAAGCAAGACUACUACAGUGGGGUGCCAUUGCCUUCUCCGGGGAUUUUCUCUAGACAUUGUCAAAUAUCUAUUGGUGUAGCAAAAUUGAACCCUGGUCCUAGAAAUUCUGCAGUUUUAGCUUUUAUAUUUAGGUUUGUGAUCUAUUUUGGGAUAACAUAUAUGUUUAAGAUAAGGAUUGAGCCUCUUUUUUUUUUUUUCAUAUGAAUAAAUAGUUGUUCCAGCAACA
rnacentral:lncRNA from 1 species